rnacentral:piRNA from 1 species
CAAUUAAAAAUACAAAGUACGGGCUGG